CAACUCUCUCACUGGGCCCUCAAAUUGCUCCAGAGGAUCUUAACUAGGAAUGACAACUCAUAUGAAGGCUCCUAAGGGUGAGCUCUCCCAGAAGGAAAAUUUAUCUGCAAAGCAAUCUUUUUUAUUUUUUCCUUCUCCUGAACUCAAGAUGGUAUAUGCCUAAGACACUCAGUGUGGGGCUUAUGAUAGUGGGGUUGAUGCGGGAGAGGAAAAGAGAAGAGAUUCUAAAUACUGAACCGGAUGGAAGGAAUUGGGUGGGAAUCCAAGAUUUAGAAAGCGAAGGUAUCGCUGUUACUGAAGAAGGAAAGGUUGGUGCCUGGGCCUGAGCAGUCUGGGGCUGUUGGGGAGCGAGGAAGUGGUCUUGUGGAGAAAGAGAAGGGCAGCAUCUUUAGCUGGAGAGAGCACAGCCAGGUGUGCGGGUGCAGCGAGGUACAGAAGCCGCCAGGGCGUCCGCUGCCCACCCUGCCCCACCCUAGUUGUUCCAACCUCAGGGCAGCUCCUGUAGUUGUCUUUGGCUCCCCGGAGCCCUGCUCCUCCCCCCUUUCCCUCUCCCCCGCUCCCCACCACAAAGCAACUGGCUUCCAUUACCCCUGACAGCUCCAAGCGGCCGCCCAGCCCAUCCCCACCCCUCCCCUCCCCUCCCCUGACUGACUCCCUGCCGUUCCCUUUUAUGGAUAUUAAGAGAGAAGAGAGGGAGGAGGUGGAGGGGGGGAACCUGGGGGAGAGGGAAGCUGAGUGAUCAGCGAAGGGGUAAGUGUGCUCGAAGAAGCCCCUUCCCUCUCUUAUGACCUCUCUAGCGUCAGGACACUCAGGAUAGUGUUCAUUUCCUCUGGGUCCAGGUCUCAUUCUCUCCCCAGACCCUCUUCCUACCGGGAACCCGAGAUCUUCUUUCGAGGCUCACCUCCCCCCCACAUCCGGGGGGUGAUUUCCCACUUGACCAAAGCGCCAAGAUUUGAGGUUUGGAUUCCGGGAGACUGCCCCCCCCAACCCUCUCUCGCGGGUAGAGGAAAGAUGGGGGUGGGAAGAUUUCCGGAUCCCCCUACUCUUGAACUCCCUCCCCAGCCGGGCAACGCAGUGAGAAAUCUCAGACACUCUCUUCCACUCCCCACUCCCUUACGGAUCAGAGGACAAAAGGCUCUCUGGGCUGGCGGGAGGGAAAGAAAACUAUUUUUAUCCCAUUAAAUUGUCAGCCUCAACUCCCAGCUCUGGCUCCGAGUACCCGCACACUCGCUUUUCUACCCCCGGGAGGAACAGUCUCGAACCCAGGACCUGGAGCGUUGCAGCCGAACCGGGCGGCUUGGCAAAGCUCAAGAGGAAACACCUGGCGGGAAGCGGGCGGGGGCAGCAGCCCAGGGGGCCCCAACAGGAAAGGGGAGGGCGCUGGCUGCGGAGGGCACAGGGGUCAGGCUAAGCCACUUCCCCGAGCCCGGGACGCGGCCCUGGCCAACCUCGGUAUUGGCUCCUCGGUGUCGGGAAGAGUCUUGCCGGGCUUGCCAGUGUAUCUGACCUUUGCCGCGGGGGCCUGUCAGCUGUGGCCAGCUGUGCCGAGUCAAGCUCAGCGAGCCAAGCAGUCUCGGAGCUGAAGGCAGGAAGCAGGCAGGGCCCGGCCGGGGUGUACCCUUGUGUGUUGUAGGAGGCCAGGCUCAGUUUGGGGGUGUCUAGAGAGGACUGCCCUCAGAGGGACUGUCAAUGUGUCUGUUUGUGUGUGUGAAAAACUGGAUGUGUUGGGAUGCAAAUGUAGGAGGCUGGUCUCUGAAUCCAUGUAUCUACAUGUCAUUUUAAUGGUUGGUAAUGAUUAAAUUUGAAUUCUAACAAGGUGAGUUUUGCCUUCUCACAUCACCAUGCUGUUAAAGAAUGUACUGAUUUCUUUUGGUUUCAGCAUUUCUACCUUAUUUGCUCAGACCCUGUACAUCAAAACAAUGUCAUUGCUACUGUCAUGAGAAACUUUAGAAUUCAGGACCCUGAAGAAGCUGCCAUUUUUCACCCAUGAAGUCAAUGAAUGUUGGCUGAAAGGGAUCUUAAGAGGCCAUUUAGUCCAAGCUUUGACCUGGUCAGGAAUCCCAAUGGAGUCAAGAGUUUGGGAAGAAUGGCCUGUGUGCAGGAGACUUGAGCUCUGAAGGGGUGUUUGCAGCAGGACGCGAGAGGGAAAGUGCAUAUGAAGGAGACAGGGCAUUGUGCUGCGAGUACUCGUAGUUCCGGUCCGGCGCCGCAAAACUGCUCCUUUUCUGCAAGCUCUGUGGGAACGCCAAGAAACAAGAUGAUCACGGACGUGCAGCUGGCCAUCUUCGCCAACAUGCUGGGCGUGUCGCUCUUCCUGCUCGUGGUUCUCUAUCACUACGUGGCGGUCAAUAACCCUAAGAAGCAGGAGUGAGGCGGCGCGGCCCCCCGCAGAUGGCUCUGCGCUCUGGAGGAAGCGUUUUCGGGCUCAUCUCUCCUGCCUGCUCAGAGCCGAGGAUGCCACAAGCCUGAGCCACGCAAAGGCCCCGAGGGACGCGGAGAAGCCUGCCACCAGGACCAAAAGCCUCGAAGAGGAUGGGAAGCAGCUGCUCCAAGGCUGAGGGGUUUGGGCCCCUAUUAAACAUCCCC
ensembl:lncRNA